rnacentral:rRNA from 1 species
GGGGGGUGCGAGCGUUGUCCGGAAUCACUGGGCGUAAAGGGCGCGUAGGUGGUUUGAUAAGGGUGUGGUGAAAGCCCGGGGCUCAACCCCGGGUCUGCCGUGCCGACUGUCAAACUCGAGGGCUGUAGAGGCAGACGGAAUUCCGGGUGUAGCGGUGGAAUGCGUAGAGAUCCGGAGGAAGACCGGUGGCGAAGGCGGUCUGCUGGGCAGUUUCUGACACUGAGACGCGACAGCGUGGGGAGCAAACAGGAUUAGAUACCCUGGUAGUCCACGCCGUAAACGAUGGGUACUAGGUGCCUGGGGGAGCGACCCUCUGGGUGCCGGCGCUAACGCAGGAAGUACCCCGCCUGGGGAGUACGACCGCAAGGUUG